ensembl:miRNA MIR3118-1 microRNA 3118-1
CACACAUACAAUAAUAUUCAUAAUGCAAUCACACACAAUCACCAUGUGACUGCAUUAUGAAAAUUCUUCUAGUGUG